rnacentral:lncRNA from 1 species
GUUGUGAAAGGUACUGUUUGCCUUUCCAACUUUAAUGUGCGUGUGUAUGACGUAAGGACCUUGUUAAAACGCAGUUUCUGACUCAGUAGUGUGAAUGGGGCCAGAAUGCUGCAUUUCUAACACUCUCCCAGAUGGUGCCAAUGUUCCUCAUCCACAGACCACAGCUGAAGUAGCAACUAUGUAAACCUCAGGCUACUCAUCACAGUGCAGAGUGAUUUCACCUAAAGGCACAACAGCAGCUGAUUGCCACAAUACAAACAAGAGCCGCCACUUACUGACAGCAGCUACGUGCCAGGUAAGUCAAAUGAGGAAGAACACCUUCAGUGUGGGGGAGAAAUGGGUCUUCAACGUCAUCUUAGACCAGUGGCUCUCAAAGUAUAUAACAGCAGCGUCAACAUCAGCAUUAUCUGGGAACGUGUUGGAGAUGUGAAUUCUUGGGUUCCACUUCAGACAACGAAUCAGAAAUUCUGGGAAAUAACCAUCAACCUUGAAGCUG